UACGGAGGGUGCAAACGUUGCUCGGAAUUAUUGGGCGUAAAGGGCGCGUAGGCGGCCUGGCAAGUGGAAGGUGAAAUCCCUCGGCUUAACCGAGGAACUGCCUCCCAAACUGCUUGGCUUGAGACCGGGAGAGGUGAGUGGAAUUCCCAGUGUAGCGGUGAAAUGCGUAGAUAUUGGGAGGAACACCAGUGGCGAAGGCGGCUCACUGGACCGGUACUGACGCUGAUGCGCGAAAGCGUGGGGAGCAAACGGG
rnacentral:rRNA from 1 species